GUUCCCUUUGGGGACCUUCGAUAAAAUUGGUACGAUAUUGUAGAGAAGAUUAUCACGGCCCUACGCAAGGAUGACAUGCACAAAUCGAGAAAUGGUCCAAAAUUUU